rnacentral:rRNA from 1 species
UGGGGAAUCUUGCGCAAUGGGCGAAAGCCUGACGCAGCAACGCCGCGUGGGGGAUGAAGGCCCUCGGUUCGUAAACCCCUUUCAGCAGGGCCGCAACUGACGGAACCAGCAGAAGAAGGACCGGCCAACUACGUGCCAGCAGCGGCGGUAACACGUAGGGUCCAAGCGUUGUCCGGAUUCAUUGGGCGUAAAGAGCUCGUAGGCGGUUUUGUAAGUCGGGUGUGAAAACUCAGGGCUCAACCCUGAGACGCCACCCGAUACUGCAAUGACUCGAGUCCGGUAGGGGAGCAUGGAAUUCCUGGUGUAGCGGUGAAAUGCGCAGAUAUCAGGAGGAACACCAGUAGCGAAGGCGGUGCUCUGGGCCGGUACUGACGCUGAGGAGCGAAAGCGUGGGG